AGACCCCGUGAACCUUUACUAUAGCUUGACACUGAACAUUGAGCCUUGAUGUGUAGGAUAGGUGGGAGGCUUUGAAGUGUGGACGCCAGUCUGCAUGGAGCCGACCUUGAAAUACCACCCUUUAAUGUUUGAUGUUCUAACGUGGACCCGUUACCCGGGUUGCGGACAGUGUCUGGUGGGUAGUUUGACUGGGGCGGUCUCCUCCUAAAGAGUAACGGAGGAGCACGAAGGUUGGCUAAUCCUGGUCGGACAUCAGGAGGUUAGUGCAAUGGCAUAAGCCAGCUUGACUGCGAGCGUGACGGCGCGAGCAGGUGCGAAAGCAGGUCAUAGUGAUCCGGUGGUUCUGAAUGGAAGGGCCAUCGCUCAACGGAUAAAAGGUACUCCGGGGAUAACAGGCUGAUACCGCCCAAGAGUUCAUAUCGACGGCGGUGUUUGGCACCUCGAUGUCGGCUCAUCACAUCCUGGGGCUGAAGUAGGUCCCAAGGGUAUGGCUGUUCGCCAUUUAAAGUGGUACGCGAGCUGGGUUUAGAACGUCGUGAGACAGUUCGGUCCCUAUCUGCCGUGGGCGCUGGAGAACUGAGGGGGGCUGCUCCUAGUACGAGAGGACCGGAGUGGACGCAUCACUGGUGUUCGGGUUGUCAUGCCAAUGGCACUGCCCGGUAGCUAAAUGCGGAAGAGAUAAGUGCUGAAAGCAUCUAAGCACGAAACUUGCCCCGA
rnacentral:rRNA from 1 species